rnacentral:rRNA from 1 species
GAUUUCUGGGCAAUAGAAUUUGGCCGGCCACGGUUUCGUGUGUUAGUGCUUUGUUCUGUGUCCAUCCUUCCAAUCGCUAUUGGCUAUUCUUCAUUGAAUGGUCAGUGGUAUUGGAUCUUUUACUUUGAAAAAAUUAGAGUGUUUCAAGCAGGCUUUAUGCUAUGAAUACAUUAGCAUGGAAUAAUAAUUUAGGACUUCGGUUCUAUUUUGUUGGUUUCUAGGACUGAAGUAAUGAUUGAUAGGGAUAGUUGGGGGUGCUAGUAUUCAGCGGCCAGAGGUGAAAUUCUCGGAUUCGCUGAAGACUAACUUAUGCGAAAGCAUU